GAUGAACGCUGGCGGCGUGCCUAAUACAUGCAAGUCGAGCGAACAGACGAGGAGCUUGCUCCUUUGACGUUAGCGGCGGACGGGUGAGUAACACGUGGAUAACCUACUUAUAAGACUGGGAUAACUUCGGGAAACCGGAGCUAAUACCGGAUAAUAUAUUGAACCGCAUGGUUCAAUAGUGAAAGACGGUUUUGCUGUCACUUAUAGAUGGAUCCGCGCCGCAUUAGCUAGUUGGUAAGGUAACGGCUUACCAAGGCAACGAUGCGUAGCCGACCUGAGAGGGUGAUCGGCCACACUGGAACUGAGACACGGUCCAGACUCCUACGGGAGGCAGCAGUAGGGAAUCUUCCGCAAUGGGCGGAAGCCUGACGGAGCAACGCCGCGUGAGUGAUGAAGGUCUUCGGAUCGUAAAACUCUGUUAUUAGGGAAGAACAAAUGUGUAAGUAACUAUGCACGUCUUGACGGUACCUAAUCAGAAAGCCACGGCUAACUACGUG
rnacentral:rRNA from 1 species